rnacentral:rRNA from 1 species
AUGAACGCUAGCGGCAGGCCUAACACGUGCAAGUCGAGGGGUAGAGGAAGCUUGCUUUCUUGAGACCGGCGCACGGGUGCGUAACGCGUAUGCAAUCUACCUUGUACUGAGGGAUAGCCCAGAGAAAUUUGGAUUAAUACCUCAUAGUAUUAUUGAAUGGCAUCAUUUAAUAAUUAAAGUUCCAACGGUACAAGAUGAGCAUGCGUCCUAUUAGCUAGUUGGUGUGGUAACGGCACACCAAGGCUACGAUAGGUAGGGGUCCUGAGAGGGAGAUCCACCACACUGGUACUGAGACACGGACCAGACUCCUACGGGAGGCAGCAGUGAGGAAUAUUGGACAAUGGGCGCAAGCCUGAUCCAGCCAUGCCGCGUGCAGGAAGACGCAUCUAUGGUGUGUAAACUGCUUUUGUACGGGAAGAAACACUCCUUCGUGAAGGAGCUUGACGGUACCGUAAGAAUAAGGAUCGGCUAACUCCGU